rnacentral:misc_RNA from 1 species
AUUUUCCAUUUUUGUUUUCCUAUUUGUACUGGCUGCUUAUUUAGCCAAAUUCAAUCACCGUGUACAAAUAGGAAAACAAAAAUGGAAAAUCAUUAAUUAUCAGCAAAAAUAAUUAAAAAGCUCAUAUUGCUAAAUACAAUCCUGUACAACACACAGCAAAGAUCAGGCUCUGUAAUCCAUCAAUGGCCGGUUCAGCUCUGCCUCCGGAUUUCAUGUCUUCUCUAAAACCUGGCGGUGACGACAGAUGAGAAGGCUGCCCAUCCGAUCCGGGAGCACUCUCUGGCGAUAGAGAAAUAUCCGGUGGCUGAGCGGCGCCCAUCACGCCAUUUCCAGGCUUACUUGUCGCUAUCGAAUUCUUCCCAAAAAUCUCCCUCGGCAACAAAACUUUCGACACCCCAAAUAUCGCAACUGGAUUCUGAUCGAUAACCGUUUGCGUCACCGAUGCCUGAACUAUCCCUGAAUCGAUUGCCACCGACCCAUUAACUCUCGAGAUGUUGAGUGUGUAGCUACCAGCGCCGGUGGCUUCCGUGGCCAAUGUGGGCUGGACUGGGUUCACAAUCGACUCGAGGGAACCCAGUGGGUAAUACGAAUGCAAGACAUGGAACUUCAAGACCACAGCUUUUUUGUCAGCUGGUAGUGACUGUAAGCUCACGGUGGCCGGCAGAUCUGCAAAAGCGGAGUCUGUUGGGACAAAGAGAGUAAUUCCGGCGCCUCUUUCAUCGGCUUCAAAUUCAUCCACCACCCCAGAAGCCGAUAGCAUCGAUGCGGCCACAAAAAAAUUAUGCCCAUCUAUAAGUGCUUUCGUUAUGUUUAGGCCUAAUGGAGGCCGAGUCUCCGAUGCCAUGAGAUUGAACCCAUCGGGGACUAAAAGGGAAUUAACAGAAAGGAUGGAGAUGUUGUAUGGACGGGUUUUCAACAGAGACAAAACGGUGGCGUUUGAACCAGAGUAAGGGGACGGAGAAUUGAUGGUGACGGUGUUGGUGAUGGGAUUCCGGGUAAUGUUAACGGUGCCGGAAUUGGAGGCGGCGCGUCCAGUGGUUUGAAAGAGAGUGGUAACAAGAACACCAGUGGUAGGGAUCUGCUGGAGGUCAGACCAGGAGAAGUACUGCAAAAGGACAUGAUAACGAAGGAGGUCGGCAAGAGAGAAGGGAGAGAGGUGGCGCGUGAUUUCAACGGAGGCGGAGAGAUACGAAUUGGGUACAGCUAAAAGAGUGAGGGAAGAGCGAUGAGUGAGGUCAUAAGCCAAGGAAGAUGUAGAGGAAAGAAGAGCAGUGAAGGAGGAGAAGUCAGGGUAGGAAGAAAGGAGGGUGGUGAUGUUGAUGGCAAGAAUGGGAGUGGCGGAGGAUGAGAAGGACAGGAGUAGUAAAUAAGUGAAUGUAAUAGGGGUAAAAUGGGAAUUAGACAUGGGGAAUUUCUUCUUGAGUGCCACCAUUUUUUUCCUUUCUUUUUCUCUGCAAGAAAUGGUGGAUCAAGCAGAGAGAAAGGGAGAAGAGGUACAGUGAAUAGUGAGUAGAGAGAGAGUGUGUGUGAAUGUGAGAGAGAGAGAGAGAGAAGGGAUUGACG